AGGGUGUUUGUUUGGACAAGCCCCUGUUGCAUACGGUGGUCAAACAUGCAUUACUUGGGGGCACAUUGUAUUUGAUUUAACAGAUCCUCUUACCUUUGGCUUUGCACAGAGUCCAAAGUCUAUCAGCUUCAAAUUGUCAAUCAGCAGAUUUUCCCGGUGGAUGAGAAAGCAGUCAGGAAUGAUUUCCACCCAAGUGCCCAAGGAAACAUCUUUUCUCUUAUUUCCUGCUGUGGACAGUGGUUCCCAGUCUACUCAAAGCUCGCUCGCUCUCGCUGUCUCAGAGAUCUUCACUGACUGCUGGCAAGUUCCCAUCUUCCAAUAUCCCAGGUGGGAAAUACUAGCUUGUAUCUGUUGGAAAGGACCUGGGGACUAGACGAGAACAUGCAGUCUCAUCCCUCGGGCAUGUGCUUUAUUUUUCAGUGGGGAAAGGUUCUUUAGAUAGAGGGAUUUCAUAAGAUGCCUAGGAAAAUGCUCGUGCUGUAAUGAUUUGCUUUACUGAGAGAUACCAGCAGCUUACAAAAUGCCAAGCUCUAACCUAUUGGUGAGGAAAUAUUCAAGCCUUCCAGUACCUAACCUGUGCUUCAAGACUUCAGUGACAGAAAAUCCAUUGGAUGGGGCCAGAGGAAUGCAUCUCACCCCAUACCCUCUGUACAGCCACCAUUUGUUUAAAGGAUCACUCUUCCUUGAGGCACAAAACUAGAGCAGGUUACACAACAGACUGACACCACAAGGGCUUCUCUCGAGAUACAAACUGCAGCAAAGAGCAUCACAAAAAUGUUGAAACCAACACUCAGAUCAGAUCUGUGUCUCUGCUCCGCUCAUUAGGAGCAUCAUGUUUUACUCCCCUUUCAGAGGAAGAUACUUCUUCAAGGAUAACAAAAUCCAGCUCAGCUACAGAACAUAGUACCAAAUAGCAAUAAUUAUCUCACAUUUCCUGUAGGGAAAGAAUCCUAAGCACAAGAUAAUGAAGGAUGUCUGAGCUUCAGCUGGGACUGAAUUAUUUUCUUCAGUGUCUGAUACAAUACAACGUUUUCAUUCUAGAGAAACAAUGGAGAUAGCGCAGUGAUGCUUACAGCUGCUGCCAGGCAGCGUUGUACAGAGCCACAGUCAAUCUCAGCUGAGAGCCCAAGGAAGUGAGAAGGAACAGAACUAGGACAGCUGACUUAAACUGGCCAAAGGAUAUUCCAUACUAUAUGACAUAUUGUGGAAGGAGUUUUGAAGGGGGUAGAACUUCAUGUAAAUCUCUUCCACUACUAGGAGGCUAACUGGACACUGAUUGGUAGGUGGUGAGCAAUUGCUUUUGCAUUCAUCAUAACUAUUAUCCUUUCUCUAUCUUCAGUACAUCAUUCUAUCUCAACCCAUUGAGUUCUACUUUGUGUUUUUUUUCCCCCUUCAAUUCUCUCCUGCAAUCCACUGGAAUGGAGUGGAGUACUGUAACUCUCUCUGCCAACAGAAAAAUAAAAACACAUUCAUUAUUAUUUAUGGAAGACUG
rnacentral:lncRNA from 1 species